CGUCUCUCGGCGGGCGGGGGAGAGGGAGGAGGGAUGACAACAAACAUGGCGGACAGGAGCAAGACGGCAGAGACGGGUAGUGACACAGGAAUAGAUGAUGUUAUCACAGGAAACUUAAGUAAAUAUGCUGUUGUUCCACCUGCUUACCUUGGACAGCCAAAAAAGGGACAUCUCGUAUUUGAUGCCUGCUUUGAAAGUGGUAAUCUUGGGCGAGUCGAUCAUAUUACUGAAUUUGAAUAUGAUCUGUUCAUCAGACCUGACACAUGUAAUCAACGUUUUCGAGUCUGGUUCAACUUUACAGUUGAAAAUGUGAAAGAAUCUCAGGUUGUUCCACAUUCGGUGCCCCAGGUGGCGCAACAGAUUAAAUCCUUGUGCCAGCAGGACUGCUGACGGAAAGAUUGGUGGUUCGAAUCUGGGGAGUGGAGUGAGCUCCUGUCUCUCAACUGCAGCGUCCCAUGCAGGGACAUGAGAGAACCUACCACAGGAUGGUAAAACAUCCGGGCGUCCCUGGGCAACGUCUUUGCAGAUGGCCAGUUCUCUCACACUAGAAGCAAUUUGCAGUUUCUCAAGUUGCUCCUGACAUGAAAAAAAAACCCAGUCAUGGGGCAGCUGAUGAAAAGGUCCUCUAGGUGAUGGUUGCCAGUUGGGUUCUGGCUGGUUGAAGUAAGCAACUCCCAGAGGACCUCAGUUUCCUAAGGAGUGAAUUGUAUGGGAGAAGGCGGUCCUGUUGGUAACCUGGACCCAAACAAUGUAGAAUGUUAAAAGUUAUAACCAAUACUUUGAACUUUGCCUGGAAACUAAUUGGCUACCAGUGGAGUGACUUUAGUAUGGGUGUGAUAUGUUCACUCCUAGAUGUUCCUGUAACCAGUCUAGCUGCCAUGCUUUGAACUAAUUGGAUCUGGGUCUGAAUUUGUUUUAUGCCAGUAGAUGUUUUGUGAAGGAGAGAUCAGAUGUUCCACAACUAGUACAAAAUUUGUUUUUUUUAAAUAAAAGAAUUGCUUACCCCUUUCUUUCCUGAAACAAGUUGUUUCAUCCAGCGGUAUGGCUAAGCUGGCCCAAUGGCAGACUGACUGAGUUUAAUCAGCCUCCUAGUGUCACAGUAGAUUUGUUCCUUGUGCUGUGUCUCAGAUCUUAGCCAGGAGUAGAUAGUGAUGAAACCAUUUGUGUUGCAAGUGUUUCAAAGGUUCUCUGAAUCAAUGAGAACAUGUUGAGCCAACACAUGACACAAGUUAGCAUAACUAACUCAGUGACUGUAUACUAGUUGGAACAAACAAUUGGAAUUUGUUGCGUUUUUUCAAUAGUAGCAGCAGAACAGAUAUAUCAUUACUGUACCAUGUGAGGAGAAACAAAAAAAGUACUCAAACCUUGCUUCUCCUUCUUGAUACCAGGGUCAAAUAAGGCAACAGUAGCAUCAGUACUUUGGACAAAAAGGAAGGAAUAAACUGACAUUCACCCUUGUAAUUGCUGUAGCUGUUGGAUUGAUACCUUUUAUUAGGAACCAGUCAUUCAAUAAUUGUGUUUACAAUUGUCUUUCUUUAAUGCAUUUUUUCAAAUGAUUUCAAUAUUUCUUCACUGUUUGCCAGCUAAAGAUGAGGAGGAUUUUUAUCCCAGAUUUUUUUUCCUGAAGGCCUAGGCCCUUCAGUCAUAUUCUAGGCAAUUAUAAGCUACAAAAGCACAGCUAUGUGGUCAAAACAGUAGUUGAGCUAUUCUUGCAGUGGCCAAGGGCUAUUCCUUUUAGUUUAACAUCUCAGACCGUAGGAUUUUUACAGCUUCAUAUCUGCAUUCAUUAACUAUCUCUAAAUACAGAGAAGCAUUUACUUCUGCCUGUUACAAUAUGUUGCUAUCAGCAUUAUUAGAAGUUCAAUUUAAUAAGGUCUCAUGUAACGAGUGCGUAUAUUUGUGUGAAGAGGAAGGACUAGAAAUGGCCAAGCAUAUUCUUCUGCACUGUGUUCUGUGUAAAGAUCGCCAAAAUCAGCUUAUCUUUCCUCUGUUAACCAUCCUUUUCUGGAAACAUUUUUGCAAAUACAGUUUCCCUUACAUAUGUAUCACCCUUCAUUUCUUGAAAUAUUGCUAAUUAUUUUUCUUUAUUUCAAUGCAUAUUUACUUGUUUCUAACUUAUGUUGUAUAGUUUUGGUCAGUGACUGCAAUAAAAAUGUCAUGUUAUGUACCUGAUUCUCUCAUAUUGUCCUUUCAUCCCUCUAGACCAGUGGUUCCCAAACUUAUUUGGCCUAACGCCCCCUUUCCAGAAAAAAUAUUACUCAGAGUCCCCUGGAAAGUGGGUGUG
rnacentral:lncRNA from 11 species